CCUUCCGUAGGUGAACCUGCGGAAGGAUCAUUACCGAGUGCGGGCCCUCUGGGUCCAACCUCCCAUCCGUGUCUAUCUGUACCCUGUUGCUUCGGCGUGGCCACGGCCCGCCGGAGACUAACAUUUGAACGCUGUCUGAAGUUUGCAGUCUGAGUUUUUAGUUAAACAAUCGUUAAAACUUUCAACAACGGAUCUCUUGGUUCCGGCAUCGAUGAAGAACGCAGCGAAAUGCGAUAAUUAAUGUGAAUUGCAGAAUUCAGUGAAUCAUCGAGUCUUUGAACGCACAUUGCGCCCCCUGGUAUUCCGGGGGGCAUGCCUGUCCGAGCGUCAUUGCUGCCCUCAAGCACGGCUUGUGUGUUGGGCUUCCGUCCCUGGCAACGGGGACGGGCCCAAAAGGCAGUGGCGGCACCAUGUAUGGUCCUCGAGCGUAUGGGGCUUUGUCACCCGCUCCCGUAGGUCCAGCUGGCAGCUAGCCUCGCAACCAAUCUUUUUAACCAGGUUGACCU
rnacentral:rRNA from 1 species